AUAUUCUGUGAGCAGGAAAGCAGGGGAUCGCAAGACCUUGCGCUGAUUGAGCGGCCGAUAUCAGAUUAGCUUGUUGGUGAGGUAAAAGCUCACCAAGGCGACGAUCUGUAGCGGGUCUGAGAGGAUGAUCCGCCACACUGGAACUGAGACACGGUCCAGACUCCUACGGGAGGCAGCAGUGGGGAAUUUUGGACAAUGGGGGCAACCCUGAUCCAGCCAUGCCGCGUGAGUGAAGAAGGCCUUCGGGUUGUAAAGCUCUUUCAGCCGGGAAGAAAACGCAUGGGUUAAUACCCUGUGUGGAUGACGGUACCGGAGUAAGAAGCACCGGCUAACUACGUGCCAGCAGCCGCGGUAAUACGUAGGGUGCGAGCGUUAAUCGGAAUUACUGGGCGUAAAGCGUGCGCAGGCGGUUUUGUAAGACAGGCGUGAAAUCCCCGGGCUUAACCUGGGAACUGCGUUUGUGACUGCAAGGCUAGAGUACGGCAGAGGGGGGUGGAAUUCCACGUGUAGCAGUGAAAUGCGUAGAGAUGUGGAGGAACACCAAUGGCGGAGGCAGCCCCCUGGGUCGAUACUGACGCUCAUGCACGAAAGCGUGGGUAGCAAACAGGAUUAGAUACCCUGGUAGUCCACGCCCUAAACGAUGUCAACUAGGUGUUGGGAGGGUAAAACCUUUUAGUACCGGAGCUAACGCGUGAAGUUGACCGCCUGGGGAGUACGGCCGCAAGGUUAAAACUCAAAGGAAUUGACGGGGACCCGCACAAGCGGUGGAUGAUGUGGAUUAAUUCGAUGCAACGCGAAAAACCUUACCUACCCUUGACAUGCCAAGAACUUUCCAGAGAUGGAUUGGUGCCCGAAAGGGAACUUGGACACAGGUGCUGCAUGGCUGUCGUCAGCUCGUGUCGUGAGAUGUUGGGUUAAGUCCCGCAACGAGCGCAACCCUUGUCGUUAAUUGCCAUCAUUUAGUUGGGCACUUUAACGAGACUGCCGGUGACAAACCGGAGGAAGGUGGGGAUGACGUCAAGUCCUCAUGGCCCUUAUGGGUAGGGCUUCACACGUCAUACAAUGGUCGGUACAAAGGGUCGCCAAGCCGCGAGGUGGAGCCAAUCCCAGAAAGCCGAUCGUAGUCCGGAUCGCAGUCUGCAACUCGACUGCGAGAAGUCGGAAUCGCUAGUAAUCGUGGAUCAGAAUGUCACGGUGAAUACGUUCCCGGGUCUUGUACACACCGCCCGUCACACCAUGGGAGCGGGUUCCGCCAGAAGUAGGUAGCCUAACCGCAAGGAGGGCGCUUACCACGGCGGGGUUCGUGACUGGGGUGAAGUCGGAACAAGGUA
rnacentral:rRNA from 1 species